GGGGAUGUAGCUCAGAUGGUAGAGCGCUCGCUUAUCAUGCGAGAGGUACGAGAUCGAUACCCCGCAUCUCCA